UUUAUUUAUUUAUAAAAUAAUAAAAUGGUAGCCUUCUGCUUACGAUUUUUGAUGGCAAAAAAAACGGCGCUUCUUCUUCGGAGGAAACUGCCGCUUCGACGACGGAAACAACCUGAUCUAACCCUAACAUCACGGAUUCGACGACGGCGGAUACAACCAUCACCGCAUCUUCCUUUCGAUCUGGUUGUAGAAAUCCUUUGUAGAGUUUCGGUGAAACAACUGAGUCAACUCCGUUGCGUCUGCAAGUCAUGGAAUUCCCUUAUCCCUGAAGAUUCAAAUUUUGCUAAGAAGCAAUUCCGCUUGUCAUCAUCAUGCGAAGAGCACCGCCACCAUCUCUUCCUAAAGUCUUCUGAGUUCCUUCAUUUACAAUGCCCAAUCUCCAAUAUCUUGAUCAACUCCAAAGACGUUACUAUGUCCAGUUACUAUCUUAAAGAAGGAAAAUCUAUUGGUGGUUUUGUCUCCACUUGUGACGGUAUCCUAUGUUAUAAGAUAAAUAAUUCUUCACUUGUUUUAUUUAACCCUUCUAUUAGAUCUAAAUUCAUAAUAUUGCCUUCUUUGAAAUUUCCAGAAGAUACUUCAAUCUCAUAUACAUUAUUGUAUGACCGUUUCGUCGAUAGUUAUAAGGUUAUUGCUUUUAAUGCCCUUAGUACCAAAAGAGAAGUCAGUGUUCAUAUUUUGGGUACAGAUUAUUGGAAAAGGAUUCAAGACUUUCCAAUUCUCCACUCCGGCCAAUCAUUAUUGUUGUAUAAUUAUAGUAGUAGGGAGGGAAUAUUUGUCACUGACUCUGUUAAUUGGUUGGUAUCAGAUUUCAUUGUUUCUCUUCAUUUAGAGAAUGAGUCAUAUCAAAAGCUUUCACUACCGGUCUCUAAUGUGCAAUUAAGAACUUCACGUUUUGUUACCUUAGGGACAUUGAGGGGUUGUUUGUCCCUUGUUAUCCCCAGUUUUUUUUUUAAUUUUAAUUGUAUUAUGCCACUUGAGAAAUUGCUAUGUUAUUUAAUGUAGAAAUUCCAUUAAGUAGCUCAUGAAGAAAUGAUGUAUUCAUUUCAGUUUGUUAUAUUGUUCUUGCCUUUAAGAAAGCUCUUGUAAUUUUGAUUGAUCAAUUAUAUGAGAAUGAUGAGAAACUUGCUAGCCUUUAGAUUAAAAUAAACGGUUCAGAUCUCAUUUAAGAAACACAUGGGUAUCUUUCUAGUCUAUUAUUUCUCAUUAUCACAUUUGCCUUUUCGUCUUCUUCCAUCUUAAAGCUUUCACUCAUUUUUCAUAGGGAUGACAAUUUGACCCAUCCCUAGUGGGCACCCGCAAAAAAUACCCACAACGGGUAGGUUAAAAACCUGCGUUUUGGGUACGGUCACGGGUAUGGGUAAUUACCCGUAAAAAUGAGCCGGUAUGGGGACGGGUAUGAGUAAUUACCCCUAAUGAAUCACUAUUACCUUAAAAUUGUUGUCUUUCAUAGAUACAUUGUUGAUUUUGAACCGCCACAUUUGUUUAUAUGGCUGCUAGUAGAUUCCUAAAUUAGAUUUAUCAAGCCACUUAGAUUCAAAAUUUCUUGGCAUUGCAUUGUCGAUGAUGUGCUUUUAUUUCUAAUUUCUAGUCAGUUUUUUCUGCUUCUUAUAGAACAAUUGUUUUAUGCGUUCAACACUAAUUAUCUACUUGUGACACUUUAAUGCUUAAGUGCAUCUACAAUUGAGUUUCCUCGGUAACUAAUGAAAGUAACACAUAUCGAAAACUGUUAAUAUUAUUGCUUGUUUUAUGAUUCCAAGUUAUCUUUAUUUCACUUUGUCUAAUAAUUGAUCUUUUUGGCAUUUUAACAUUAGUAUAUUUAUGACCUGUUUUAGAGAAGGGUUGAUGUCCUAUAAGCAAUUCAUUCAGGAGCUUGAGGAUGAUAUACUACCAGCUGAAGCAGAACAUAAAUAAUCUUUUGCGUUAUCUCUGAGAAUUCAAGUUAUGUCGGAAAAUUUUCUGAUCUUUCUUGACAAAUGACUUCUGAUUGAUUUUUCUAGGUAUCAAGAAUAUAGAUCAGAGUACAUUUCUACCCAAAAAAGAGCUUAUUUCAAUGCUCAUAAGGAUGAGGAGUGGUUGAAAGAUAAAUACCAUCCAACAAGUUUGCUUAAAGUCAUUGAAAGGAGGAAUGAAAGGGCUCGACAGCUGGCAAAAGAUUUUUUGCUUGAUUUGCAGAGUGGAACUUUUGAUCUAAAUCCGGGUUUAAGUGCCUCUUCAUCCAGCAAAUCAGCGCACGCUAGCGAACCAAAUUCAGAGGAGGAAGCAGAUGGCAAACAGAGAAGACAUGGAAGGGGUUUUAAUAAACAAAGUGAUUUCACAGCUGCUCUAAAGACUCAUCCUAUCAGUUCUGAACCGAGACGAAUACAAGCAGAUGUUCAAGUUCAACUGUCUCAGGCCCCUGUUCGCAAGCUUGAUGCAGAAAAGGGGAUUGGAGAUAAUAUUUUAUGCAGCAGUGAUCAUAUUGCCACCCAUUCAUCUUUUGGCUUCACACCAUUUCAGGUUGUAUAUGGUCGAAGUCCUCCCUCUCUCUGCCCUUAUACAUUGCAGAGAAGAUAUGCUCUGUCUCCUUAGAAACAAGUUACUCAAGGCUCAAAACACUAUGAAGCUUCAAGCUGAUAGGAAGCAUAUCAAUCAUCAGUUCUCACUCGGUGAAUUUGUGUUUGUCAAGCUGCGUCCAUAUCGACAAACAUCCGUAGAAGGUCAUCGCAUUCAAAAGCUCUCAAAGAGGUUCUUUGGCCCUUUCAAGAUUAUCCGCCAAAUUGGAGAUGUUGCUUUGGAAUUGGAGUUACCUGCCUCUAACAAAAUUCAUCCGGUUUUCCAUGUGUCAAAGCUCAAGCUCAGUUACACCACUCCCUCCAACAUUUCUGCAUUACCUGUGGACACUGUGCACGCACAGGCACAGCCAGUGCUUCAACCUCUCGCUGUGCUUGACUGGAAGCGAGAUUCAGAAACUGCUUCACCAUUGGUUCUCAUUCAAUGGGAAGGGCUGUUUCCAGAGGAUGCCACUUGGGAACCUUACGACGACAUGCUUCGCGUGUAUCCAGACUUUCACCUUGAGGACAAGGUGCAUUUUGAAGGGGAAAGGAAUGUUAUGGGCCUAGAUGAGCCAAGGGAAGAAGAGUACAAAGGCCCAAUUCCUCACUUAAAGGCCAAGAGAAACAUAAUGAAGCCCAUAUGGCAAAAGGACUAUGUCAUGACCAAGCCUAAGUGAUUCCAAGGACACAUCUUCAUCUGUAUGAAGGAUCUAGAAUAAGUUGUUAGCAUAAUUAGUUGUUUUACUAGUACACACUUGUAGGCAGGUGUUUAUUGGAUAAGAGAAUUCCUGGUUAUGUGGGAAUUCUAGUUAUGAGUUAGCUAUUAGUGUGCUUGCUAUGACGGAGAAUAAUGCAGAUGAGUAUUAAGUGAA